rnacentral:lncRNA from 1 species
UUAUAAUAUUAUUAAUAUUUUAUAAAAUAUAAAUUAAUAAUUUUUAAUAAUAUUAUAUAUAUAAUUUAACAAUAUCAAUUAUAAAAAUUAAAAAUAUCAAUCACAAUUCAAAACAAAAUUCAAAAGUUUCAAAUACAUUAGAAAUGAGAGUACUAAUUUAUUUGUAUUUUGAACUUUUUUUUUAUAAAUAUAUUAUUUUUUAGGAAUAUUUUUGUAAAAUAUAAAUGAUUUUAGGGGCGAAUUCGGGGCGGAUCAUGGCGGGACGGAUUCGGGGCGGAUUCGGGGCGGGUCAAAAUUUCUCUCGUUUCCUACCCCGAAUUCGUCUCGAAUUAUAAAAUUUAUCCCGUUUUCUGCCUCGAAUCUGUUUAUUUUCUCCCAUUUACUGCUC